rnacentral:rRNA from 1 species
GACGAACGCUGGCGGCGUGCUUAACACAUGCAAGUCGAACGCUGAAGCUCAGCUUUUGUUGGGUGGAUGAGUGGCGAACGGGUGAGUAACACGUGAGUAACCUGCCCCCUUCUUUGGGAUAACGCCCGGAAACGGGUGCUAAUACUGGAUAUUCACUGGUCUUCGCAUGGGGGUUGGUGGAAAGGGUUUUUCUGGUGGGGGAUGGGCUCGCGGCCUAUCAGCUUGUUGGUGGGGUGAUGGCCUACCAAGGCUUUGACGGGUAGCCGGCCUGAGAGGGUGACCGGUCACAUUGGGAGUGAGAUAGGGCCCAGACUCCUACGGGAGGCAGCAGUGGGGAAUAUUGCACAAUGGGCGCAAGCAUGAUGCAGCGACGCCGCGUGAGGGAUGGAGGCCGUCGGGUUGUGAACCUCUUUCGCUCAUGGUCAAGCCGCAACAAUGGUUGUGGUGAGGGUAGUGGGUAAAGAAGCGCCGGCUAACUACGUG